rnacentral:rRNA from 1 species
GUGAGGAAUAUUGGUCAAUGGACGAGAGUCUGAACCAGCCAAGUCGCGUGAAGGAUGAAGGUUUUAUGAAUUGUAAACUUCUUUUGCAGGGGAAUAAAGUACGGUACGUGUACCGUUUUGUAUGUACUCUGCGAAUAAGGAUCGGCUAACUCCGUGCCAGCAGCCGCGGUAAUACGGAGGAUCCAAGCGUUAUCCGGAUUUAUUGGGUUUAAAGGGUGCGCAGGCGGGUUGAUAAGUCAGCGGUGAAAGUUUGCAGCUUAACUGUAAAAUUGCCGUUGAAACUGUCGAUCUUGAGUGCAAAUGAGGUAAGCGGAAUGUGUUGUGUAGCGGUGAAAUGCUUAGAUAUAACACAGAACACCGAUUGCGAAGGCAGCUUACUGGGAUGCAACUGACGCUCAUGCACGAAAGCGUGGGGAUCAAACAGGAUUAGAUACCCUUGUAGUCC